UCCUUGAUUACAAAGCACCACCAAUAUAAAACUGUCAAAAGAAAUCGAACAUGAUUGUGGCAACUGUUCAUUUCUGAAUUUAAGGACGGUACCAUUUGGUUAUUUUUACAAGGAAAGGGCUACAAUUUCUAAUGAAAAGGUGGCUACAUUUUAAACACAAAUUUGACCACUCUUUUAACCUCCAAAUCAGCUAUUUCUUUAAGACCAAUUUGGGACCAGGCCAAAGAAGAUAACCCGACCCGGUAACAUUUUAAAUCCCCAAAGACCAAAAUCAGUCCCUAAUUUCCAUUUUUGGCUAAGAAUCCUUUAACUAGUUUCCCUUGUCUCUCUUUUUUCUGUUUCCCAGUACAAAAAGAUUCGGACUUCAAACUCCAAUUCAAUUCAACGAAGUUCCGGAUUCAAAUUCCUCGCACAUAAUCCUAGAAAUUGGGGUUCUAUAUAAAGAACCCCAUCUCUUAACACUUUCUACACCACAAAAACUCUGAGUUUUCCAAUUACACAAAACAAGAAUUUUACCUUCCCUUUGUCCAAGUUCCCUGAGGUUCAGACAUCUUCAGAAGAAAGAUUAUCAUUUAUGAUAUAGAAUCCCAAUAAUGCUGACAUAGACUACACGCAAUUUUUUUUUGAGGCAGUGGAAACCUUAGUAACAAUGCUCCAGGAGUGUCCUAAGUUGAUCCAAUAUGGGGACACUCCUGUAGUAUUGUUAAUUGGGGUUUGACUGACAUUCAAGAGAGGUUUGAACCGGGGAACUUCACGGUUAUCAAAAACAAGACAAAGCCGCACAAAGUUUCAGGAUGAGUCAAUUUUAAAUGAUGAUGACACUGUUUGGGAGAAGGAAGCUGAUGGCUGUCAUUUCAAAAUUGUUUAUUGAUAGGUAAUGAAGAAGAAAGUCAUGCUGACAAAGAUGGCAUGGAGAAAGAUGCAAGGAGGAGGUGAAAACAUACCCUGGGUGAUGAUCCUUUGACACAAGAUGGCAUUGACAUGAAUGAUAGCUUGAACCUUGCAUGUCCAGGGGAUCUAAUGGUGAACAACUACUUUUUAGCAGAGGAUAUGUAUGACAGUGCUCAAGGACUUGGUGACCAAAUGGACAUGCAGUUUACUGAAAUAUAAGUCAAUUUUCUUACACGCCAGUUGAAGUUAACUUUUACCUGCUUUAAGCUUAUUUAUUGAAAAAAGAAAAUUAUAUAUUCACCUAAA